UGUACACGACAGAGGGCAAAGGAAAUCCGUGUUCAGCAACUAUGUUAAAUGCCAUGUAUGUAAAUUUUACAACGCUACUCAUUCGAAGCGCGCACAGGUGCAUAUUGAAGAAACGUUUUCCAGGGUACAUAAUUUAGUGCGUAAUUUACACUAAUUUUGCUCUAACCACAAGACAUAAUAAAUUGAAUAUACUGCACGGAAAAACCUAGAGCGAAUUAAAUUGUGUGUCAGCUUCGUGUGUAUAAAUAUAGUCUUUCCUAUGCAUUAGGUUUUUCGCGUAAUGCAUUACCAGUUGACAGCCUAUCUUAUCAUGUGUACUCUGUUUACAUUACAGUUGUUUAUUAGUUUACUCAUUUGUUUUGCAACUUCUGAAAUGCCGCUGUAUUUAUAUUUUCAAGAUUUGACAUAACCCUGUAUGUUUUGUAGGGACAACCCAGGACGUGCAUUUCUCAGCACCCAGUCAACUGCCAGAAGCGACUCGAACACAGGCCACCAGUGGCACUCGGCUGUACCACUGCAGUGCUGCAGAAAUUGCCAGCACCAGCGGCUUUGCAACAGCUGUUUCACAGCAUGUCGGAGACAAUGCCUACGAAAUUAUUGGCCCUGAUGACGAGCGCCCUCAAGGGGCAAACGACAUCUCUGUUGCAGAAGUGAGCCCGAUACCACCUGAAGUUACCUUGACAGGUGGCACGGCAGCAAUAGAUACAGAGGCGGCCAUGUCUACUGCAGCUGCAACAGUGUACGAGGCAAGCAGCAGUGUGUCAGCAUCAGCAGCAGUGUCAGAAGGAACCGCACCAGGCAUGGUAGAGCAACAUGUGUGCUAUCACUGUGACUUUUUUUGUAGUGCAUACAACUCAUUUGCUCAACAUACAAAAGCUUUUCACCACGACUGUGAGCCAGUGUUCUUGUGCAGCAAGUGCAAGACUAAGUUAAGUGUUAUAACACAGUGCAAGCAUCACUUUAAGAUAUGAAAACACAUUACAGUUGUUGCCUCCCCAGCCAGCCCACAUAGCGACAACAAUGUGGAACACAUGGUGGGACACACAUCUUCUCCAUUAGAAGAUAGUAGAGACUGUCAGUGUUGUUGUUAGAUUAACUGGUCUUUGUAGGCAACUAGAAGGACAACACAGGUGUCAUAAGAUUGUUGUUUAUGUUGAUGUUGAAGAGGGAAAAAAGAAGUUUGAUGCAGCUGAAGUGCCAACUGAUAUUGAGCAAAGCAGAAACAACCACCUGAGAAAGCAACACUAUCGAAAUUUGGGUAUCUAUGUGCCGCCAACUCUGGUAAGGAUGUCAUAGGACAGAAGUGUGAUGAAAAUCACAGACACUGCUGUUCCAUCACUGGUCACAGUGAGCAGUGACUUGUAGAGCAAGAGAGUCAACUGAAACGAACAUUAUGGCGUAGUGUCAUGCUCCCAUGUGACCACUUUCCAUGUUAUUUUGCAUGAUACAGCUCAAUCUCCAGAAACGAGACUGCAACUUGUCUGUAAAAAGCUUUCACAAAAAAUUAUUCAUAACACUAUUAACACAGCAUCAUCUUCUUUUUUUGUGGAUUCGAGGUUUCCGGGUGUCCAUUAAUGCAAAAAUUGCGGAAGAAAAGAACAUGUGCCGUACUUGCACCUUUUUAACACGUACGAGGGGGACAGAACUUUUCUAGUCAUGCAUCUUCAUCAUACUAUCAAGUUUUAAAUGCCUUUUAUAAUUAUUAUUACCAGUUAUAUCUGAGUGCAUUGUAUGCAUUUAGCAGGUGUAAAAUCAGGUCAGUUGGAUCAGAUGCCUUAUCUGCAAGAGAGCCCUAUAUUCAAGAAAUUUGAAUUAAAAUAGAUACAUUAGAGACGCAGUCUUUCUGCACUUUAUUGCGUGUGGUUUAAGCAUUGCUCAAUGCUUUUGUGGAUGGCAGGUUCAACCGGCACAGCACUGCGCUUUGUCACGGUCAAGUGUCUUCAAAGCGGUGUUUACCAUUUGUGUUGAUCUGCUUGUGUAUUCAUAGAGCAAGUUUUUUAUUUUUUUCCGCAUUCUUGUGCUUGCACUAAGCUUGUAUAAGGCAGUUACAAAAUGGGCGUCACUAUAACGAACUGUUCUGUUGAGCUUACACUUGCAAAUAAUAGUGUUCAGAUGGCCGCACUUCUAUGUAGGUGCACCGAUAGCUUUGUGUAUGUUCUCAUGUUUGUAUAAAGCUUAUAUAAGCUAGUUACAAAAUGUAUGUCACUAAGCAUUGUGAUAUUCUUUAAAGAACUGCUUGGUUGGUUUUACACUUGUGAAUUAGUAUUGAGGCGGUGGUAUUUCCAUGUAGGCCCACUGCUAGCUUUCUGUGUGCUCACGUGUUUGUAUUAAGCUUUUACAAGGGAGUUACAGCAUGUACGUCACUAAGCGUUGUGAUAUUUUUAAAGAACUGCUUUGUUGGUUUUACACCUGUGAGUAAUAGUACUCGGGUGGCACUAGUCAUGUGUAGGUACACAGGGACCAUUUGUAUACAUUAUGCUCAUGUAAAGCAGUUACAAAGUGUAUGUCACUAAUCACUGUGAUAUUUGUUGAAGAAUUGCCGUGAUGGUUUUGCACAUGUGAGUAAUAGUGGUCAGGGCACAGUACUUGCGAUGUAUAGUUGAACUUAUACAGUGUCAAGACAUGGGCUGUAUACGUACCAAAAGAAAUGUAUGUCAUUAUAUUGUUGUGAUUAUUACUGUUUGGAUUUUAUUAAACUCUAAUAAAUUUUUUUCUUGUAUCUAUUGAGGUAUGGCAAUUUGUCAUGCAACGAAACUGAGAACCUGAACUUGUGCAUACAAAUAAACAGCUAAUUUAAGAGUAUACUGCUCAUGUUCUGCGAAACCAGUUUAACAAAUCUUUUACUACGAUGCUGGAAAAAUGACAGAGC